UUGCAGAAAAGGAACAACAACUAAUAUCUCUUGGCUGCAGGACACUGAAGUCACUUAAGUGCACAAUUGACAUGGAGAAGCAAAUGCUUAUCCUGGGAAGAAGCACAAGGGCACAAGUUCGCUUUGCAAAUGUCAAAGAUGCUAGCAGUGGCGAGAGAGAAAUGUAAUUCCUCUCUAGCACAUAACUGGAGGUCAUGACCAAGAAACCCAUCUUCUGGAACAAGGGGACUGUUGAAAUAUGCCACUUCUCCAUCAGACCCUGCACCAGAAUGCUCCCAGAGAGGAUAGAAUAGAAUGGUUUCUAAAAUAGAAUCCACAUGCAGAUAGAAUUAGAAUGGGCUCUAGAAUGGGCUGAUGCAUCAAAGGUUCCUCCCACUCAUGCAGUUCCUGUUCCUGUCUCCUUAGAACCCCUCGACCUGUUGGCCUCUCAUGUCCAAAUGUUUAGCCCUCCGCUCUUGUUAUGAAUUAUUCAUUAAGGUCAAGUAACA